CCUAUCUCUAGAGGUGUUGCACUUGUGGCUGCUAUGUUUGUCAUAUUUGUCAGUAGGUAGCAAAGGAGAGACGCUAUGUCUAAGCUCAGGGUUCUAACGUGUAAAUAUCUGAGUGAUUAUUAGCCUAGCAUU
ensembl:snoRNA Gm26162 predicted gene, 26162